rnacentral:rRNA from 1 species
UACGUAGGGUGCGAGCGUUAAUCGGAAUUACUGGGCGUAAAGCGUGCGCAGGCGGUUCGUUAUGUCCGAUGUGAAAGCCCCGAGCUUAACUUGGGAAUGGCAUUGGAAACUGGCGGGCUGGAGUGCGGCAGAGGGGGGUGGAAUUCCACGUGUAGCAGUGAAAUGCGUAGAGAUGUGGAGGAACACCGAUGGCGAAGGCAGCCCCCUGGGCCGACACUGACGCUCAUGCACGAAAGCGUGGGGAGCAAACAGG